GGAUCAACGAUUAUGGGUUCUUGCCAUGAUGACAUUUAUGAGAGAAAUAGUUUGGUAUGCAAGAUUUGCAAGAUAGAUGAUGGUGAAGACUGGUUGGGAUGUGAUUCAUGUGGGCAGUACUUUCAUGCAAGUUGUCUGAAUGUUGACUUUGGACAAACUCUGACAGAGUACUUUUGUUACCCAUAAUCAGACAUGACAAUUGUAUAAUAAAUUAAUAAUACAAAACAUAAAUUGUAAGAUUUAAAAGUGCCGAAUAAAAACGACUUACCGAUUAGAA